rnacentral:rRNA from 1 species
CAAGUCGAACGAGAAACCCGCAAGGGUGGAAAGUGGCGGAAGGGUCAGUAACGCGAUCGAAUGUGCCCCGAGGUGGGGGAUAGGCAGGGGAAACUCUGCGNUAAUACCCCAUGUGUUCCCCGGAACAAAGAUUUAUCGCCUUGGGAGCAGCGGUCGUCCUAUCAGGUAGUUGGCGGGGUAAAAGCCCACCAAGCCGAAGACGGGUAGCGGGUGUGAGAGCACGGCCCGCGACAUCGGGACUGAGACACUGCCCGGACUCCUACGGGAGGCUGCAGUAACGAAUAUUCCGCAAUGGGCGCAAGCCUGACGGAGCAAUGCCGCGUGCAGGAUGAAGCGGCUUCGCCGUGUAAACUGCUGUCAGGGGACAGAAACACUGAUCGUCCCCAGAGGAAGAGACGGCUAACCCUGUGCCAGCAGCCGCGGUAAGACAGGGGUCUCGAGCGUUAAUCGGAAUUACUGGGCUUAAAGGGUGCGUAGGCGGCCGCGCAAGUGUCCCGUGAAAUCCCCCGGCUUAACCGGGGAACUGCGGGGCAAACUGCGCGGCUCGAGGAAGGUAGAGGCCGGUGGAACGAUAGGUGGAGCGGUGGAAUGCGUAGAGAUCUAUCGGAACGCCAAAGGUGAAGACAGCCGGCUGGGCCUUUCCUGACGCUGAGGCACGAAAGCGUGGGGAGCAAACCGGAUUAGAUACCCGGGUAGUCCACGCCCUAAACGAUGCACACUAGACCGGAGCGGCUCUGACGUCGUUCUGGUCGCANAGAAAUUGGUAAGUGUGCCGCCUGGGGAGUACGGACGCAAGGCUAAACUCAAAGGAAUU